rnacentral:rRNA from 1 species
CGCUGGCGGCAGGCCUAACACAUGCAAGUCGAGCGGUAGAGAGAAGCUUGCUUCUCUUGAGAGCGGCGGACGGGUGAGUAAUGCCUAGGAAUCUGCCUGGUAGUGGGGGAUAACGUUCGGAAACGGACGCUAAUACCGCAUACGUCCUACGGGAGAAAGCAGGGGACCUUCGGGCCUUGCGCUAUCAGAUGAGCCUAGGUCGGAUUAGCUAGUUGGUGGGGUAAUGGCUCACCAAGGCGACGAUCCGUAACUGGUCUGAGAGGAUGAUCAGUCACACUGGAACUGAGACACGGUCCAGACUCCUACGGGAGGCAGCAGUGGGGAAUAUUGGACAAUGGGCGAAAGCCUGAUCCAGCCAUGCCGCGUGUGUGAAGAAGGUCUUCGGAUUGUAAAGCACUUUAAGUUGGGAGGAAGGGUUGUAGAUUAAUACUCUGCAAUUUUGACGUUACCGACAGAAUAAGCACCGGCUGACUCUGUGCCAGCAGCCGCGGUAAUACAGAGGGUGCAAGCGUUAAUCGGAAUUACUGGGCGUAAAGCGCGCGUAGGUGGUUAGUUAAGUUGGAUGUGAAAUCCCCGGGCUCAACCUGGGAACUGCAUUCAAAACUGACUGACUAGAGUAUGGUAGA